rnacentral:lncRNA from 1 species
AGGGUUACAUGCAUGGACGCGAGAUGUGCUCGCUUGUUUACUCGCCCCUGUCGCGCGCCGUCGUGCCUCGGAGCCGUAAUGAGUGGGCCGGUUGGAAAGAGAAGGGCGUUCCUACCUAUCAGCCUCCCGUGGACGUGAGCGACAGCGAAGAGCAGAACCUUGAGGCUGAUUUCCCUGACUACGUGGACCCUCCCUUUGAC